CUACGGGUGGCAGCAGUGGGGAAUAUUGGACAAUGGGGGAAACCCUGAUCCAGCAAUGCCGCGUGUGUGAAGAAGGCCUGCGGGUUGUAAAGCACUUUCGGUUGGGAGGACUGCUUCUAGCACUAAUAUUGUUGGAAGUUGACGUUACCUUCAGAAGAAGCACCGGCUAACUCCGUGCCAGCAGCCGCGGUAAUACGGAGGGUGCAAGCGUUAAUCGGAAUUACUGGGCGUAAAGCGCGCGUAGGCGGCUAGAUCAGUCGGGUGUGAAAGCCCCUGGCUUAACCUGGGAACUGCAUCCGAUACUGUCUAGCUUGAGUACAGGAGAGGAGAGUGGAAUUCCACAUGUAGCGGUGAAAUGCGUAGAUAUGUGGAGGAACACCAAUGGCGAAGGCAGCUCUCUGGCCUGAUACUGACGCUGAGGUGCGAAAGCGUGGGGAGCAAACAGCAUUAGAUACCCUUGUAGUC
rnacentral:rRNA from 1 species